rnacentral:rRNA from 1 species
UACGUAGGGUGCGAGCGUUGUCCGGAAUUACUGGGCGUAAAGAGCUCGUAGGUGGUUUGUCGCGUUGUUCGUGAAAACUCACAGCUUAACUGUGGGCGUGCGGGCGAGACGGGCAGACUGGAGUACUGCAGGGGAGACUGGAAUUCCUGGUGUAGCGGUGGAAUGCGCAGAUAUCAGGAGGAACACCGGUGGCGAAGGCGAGUCUCUGGGCCGAUACUGACGCUGAGGAGCGAAAGCGUGGGGAGCGAACAGG